UAGCUGGAAUAACAAACAAAUGUGAAGAAACAUAAUCUCACUUUUACAACAUAUGUAAAGGUCAAGAUCAUCGACGAGAUGCUAAUGCAAUUACAACUUUUUAUUCGUCACUAAAAUACAACUCGUGACAAUUUGGAGCCAUAACACCACAAAAAGCUCAAAGGAACACUAGCUACAAAAUUAGCUAGUUGUAGCGAAAAUUAGCUACAAAAUUCGAGAAAAUCACGCGAGAGAGCGAAAUCACAAGGCGAUAUGUCUGAAGACAGACUGACCAGAAGAACGAAUAAAAAGCCUGGAAAGGACUAGAUGAAAGCAGCGAAAGAAAUAACUACAUAUGGAGAUGCAUUCAACGUAAAAAAAAUGCACCGCAAAUGAUUCUAAGAAAAUAAUAUAAUACGGAGCUCUUUAUAUUACAGAAGUCUAAUCGCCUGGAGCGAAUGCAUAAACGAGGAAUUUGACACCCAUGCACCAUUUCUAAUAAAGAAAUUCACAACCGAACCGGGAGUAUAUUUCAAGAAGAUUGGGCAAAUGAAUCAAGCGGAAUUAACGUGAAAAAUGGUAAUUAAAUUGGACAUCCAAGCAAUAAACCAACGAUAGCAACUGCAAGGAUACAUAAAACCGACAGAAGAUCUGUGUUACAGCAAAUCACUCGAAGGUAGAAUGAGGGAGACGUGUCAGCACUUAUAAUAAUGAAAAAGAAAAGAAUAAGCAGCUAGUAAUAUCGCUAAAACAGUUGCAGACCGCAUAUCAAAAACCAAAUAAUACAAGAAGAAGAUUGCGCGAUGGAAUAGGCAUCAAAAACACUGUUCGCGACUAGUGACUAGGAUGACGACGACGAAAAGAAAAUUGCUGAACAAAUAAAUCUAAAUUACAUAACCAGCAACAAACACUGCAACAUGCGGCAAAAACCAAAUAACAAUCUUAAACACGCAUAAUCGCUCAUGUAGAUAACCUAGAAAAGGUCUUUCAAGAAGACGAAGAAAGAUUUUUAAAUAUCACGAUAAGAAUGAGAGAUCAAAGAAUGGGAUACGGGCGAUGGGAAGAUAUGGACGAGCAUUUCCUUACGGUGGAAGCGAUAAUAACGGAUCUGACACACGACACGGAAAAUGUAAUAGAACUUGCAAAUGCGAAGAAAGAAAUUAUAAACGUCAAUAGAAAAUAUAAUAGCAAAUUUAAAAGAAGCUAUUACAUCACAAUUAUCGCAGGGACUACACUUCCCAUCCCGCAUUGCCGCAGAAAACUGGGCAAAUACCGAAAAAUUUAUAAAUGCAUAUAAUGAUAACUUGAAUAUAUACACGAUCAUAAAAUCCCCAUUAAUUAUAUACGCUGCAUACGACAUACUAACUAAGAAUAAUACCGUUACCGACAUUUGACUACGAGAAUAUAUUCACAUUUGUAGAAGUAAAUCAACAACUAAUUGCGAUAGAUAUGGAAAGUCGAAUAUACUUCACAAUUACACAAGAAAAUCUAAACCAAUGUAUUAGGGAUGAAAAUCAUUACAUUUGCAAACAAAACCACCUCGUAUAUCACGUAAAUGAUAAUUCGUUAUGCGAAGUACGAACAUACCUACAACUAUCAGAUCACAAAACAAACUAUAAAAAUCGACAUAUAAUUUCAAACAUGAUAAUAUGAUCGCGAUGGAUCGCGAUCACUCAAUUUAUGGUUAUAUUCAACAAAAAACAAGCAACAUAUAAUAGUAUCGUGCAAAAGAUACAAAAUACAAAGAAUCGAGAUCGACAGAACGGGAACAAUAACGCUAGCAGAUGCAGACUGACGAUACCCGAUAUAAUGAUCAAAACGAGAAAAUCAAAAAUAACGUCAUACAUACAAUAACGUCAUACAUACAAACACACGUAUCAGACUACAAUCUAACGUUCUCAUAAGACAAAUCGACGAACGCACAAAGGACAUUCGAGUAGUGAAAUUAGGAAAAUUAUACAGAAACCAAACGACGUAAUGGACUUGAGCAAUACGCUAAACGAGAUAGACAAACAAUUAGACAACGAUAAUUUUACGACACAUAAAUAUGUAGUAUAUUCGAUAAUAUCAAAUUUCAUAGGAAUCUUAAUAAUAAUAAUUGUAAUAGCGAUAAUAUACAGCGAUAAAAAAGGUACUAUAAAAAAAAACAACCCAUAAAUCCCAAUUUAAAUCCUAUGUGCAAACCGAGAAUAAUUCAAAAGCAUAUCUACGGCACCGCGAGCGGAUCAAAUGGAACAACAGAAAUAGAAACUGACACCACGAUAACUAAUAUUGCAAUGCUAUAUUAAAGUAAAGUAAUUAUAAGAAACGAUUAUAAAAUGCGAAAAAUGUAUUGCGGAAAAAUUUAACGCGAAAAAUUUAUGUAAACGAAAACUCACAUAUAGUUUGUUUCCUUUUUUCAAAAGGAGAAGGAUGUCGAACCCGACCACUUAAGUAAUACGUUAGUAAGAUAAUGCAAUAAAUUAAACAUAUAAAAUUAAA